AUAACAAACGGGGUGUAUGAGAGCGACUAGAGGUAUGACCAUUCUACGUCAAAUAUAUAUGUACAAUACAUAAGCAGAAGGAAACCAUCAACUCCAUAAUGUCAGCCAGAUGCGUGAAAAUUAUUUUGAAGUUAUGGACUUCCGUCCAUGAGAACAUGGUGCUGACGUGGGUGUUGGGAAAAAGAGCGAGUAGGAGACACAGUAACUGAAGGUAUAAUUUGUGAGAAAGCACGAGCCACCUACUCUGAUUUGGUGCAGCAGAACCAAGGCACAUUGGCGGACAUCCUUGAAGCAAUCCAGUGAACCUUUCAAAGUCAGCCAAGGAUGGUUUGAAAAUGUUCAAAAAAGGACCGGGUUAGGGUUAACCCUAACCCUAACCCUAACCCUCCUAAAAAAUCUCUUACAUCCCCUACAAAAUCAAACCGCUUUCGUAUAUCAUUCAGAAAAUCCCAGAACUUUUAAAAAAACCAUUUCCAAAUAAAGAAUGCAGGUUAUGUGGCGGGCGAACCCAAGGGCGUGGGUCAAUUGGCAGAUUUUUGUGGUGUGGGUAAACCUGGUCUUUGGUCAUCCCAUCAAGAAAUAUCUUUCCGAGAAAAACCUGCCUCUACAAGCCCUUGUUCUCUUUGACAAUGGCCAGCUCACCCUCCGAACCUCAAAGAAGAUAUCUUGGAGAAUUUAAAUUAAUUAAGGCCCGAUAUCUACCACCCAACACCACCCCUUAUCCUCCAGCCGAUGGACCAACAGGUCAGAUCUAACUUCAAAAAGUUGUUCACCAAGCACCUGUUCCAACACUGCUUUGAGGUGACUGAAAACACUAACCUCACCCUUCGUGAGUUCUGGAAUGACCACUAUAAUAUUGUGACAUGCCCCAGAGACCUAUUGAUCUGGCGUGGCUGACUGUUUCAGCACACACUUUGACCUGUGCGUAAAUGACCAACGCCCCACCCCAGUCUGUCUGGUGGCCGUCCAGGGCACCCAAAGCGAGGACUUUGGCUGAGCAGUUCAGGAGGUCGGCGAGGACGCCAAGCACUGGGUCCUUACGGGGCGACUCAGGGGGUCGGCGAGGACGCCAAGCACUGGGUCCUUACGGGGCGACUCAGUCGGAUGUCUGCGAGGAGGGUUCCAACAGCAAAACAGGAACCAAAUAGGACCAGGUGACAGCUAUGGAUGAAGCACAGCUGAGACGUGGUGGAGAGGCGGCGGCUGCUGAUGCUGGUACUGGUCAAGCACCACCGAGGCGUGGUCGAGAGGCAGAGACUGCUUCUGCUGGUUGAACAAAGGCGAGACGUGGUCGAGAGUCGGCGGCUGCUGCUGGUCGUACAAUGCGGAGGUGUGGUUGAGACGUGGCUGUCGCUGUUGCUGGUAGAGCACCGUCUGACGUGGUCGAGAGGUGGCGGUUGCUGCUGGUCGAGGAUCGCCGAGGCAUGGUUGAGAGACUGCGGCUGGUCAAGUACCGCCGAGGCAUGGUCGAGAGGCAGCAGCUGCAGCUGGUCGAGCACUGCUGAAAGAUGGUCGAGAGGCGGCGGCAGUUGCUGCUGUUGGUCAAGCAGCGCCCAGAGGUGUUCGAGAGGUGGCGGCUGCUGCACUCACAACAUCCCGAGUUGAGGUGAGCAGUACCCUAUCCUCAUAUACAUAGUGUUAAAAGUGCACUGAUUACUCCUCCGGCUGGUGGACCAAAAUGUCCUCUAAGCCGUCCAGAAAUCUUUCCCCAUGGCCUCACUGAACUCCCUCCAUGCCGGACUUUUUGUUUCAGCGACAACAAAAGCUGCAUUCCGCUUGGCUAGCCAGCACCAAUGAUCUAGCUGCCUUCAGAGUCCUACAGGCCAAAAGGGCCCGAUAGGAUUUCUUCUCCAGUUUGACGGCAUUCCUCAUCCAUGGUGUCCAUCGGACAUUCUAGCAAAGCCUCACAAUACAUUUUGGGCUGCAGGUUGGACUGCCAACUUCACCCGCCAUCGGAUCCAACUCAACACCAGAAAAACACAAAGAAGAUCAAUAAGUAGGCGAUUGACCUGAGAUUUGUUGAUGACAUGACUGGCCUCCAGUUGAAGAGAAAAUUUCACCCCGAGUUCUGAGGAGAAGGACGCCAUCGGUGACAAUGUCCCGGAUCAUUCCAAAGGCUACAUCCUCAACCCUUCGGCUCCCAGAAGAUGAUGCUCUGUGGGAAAUUCUAGCAACAGAGGUGUUCAAGAGGAGAGCAUUCAUAAAAUGAAGCAAGAUCAUGGAAGUAACAGGUCAUUUUUUUCCUGGUGAUAGAUACUGAUUUUAAAAUUAUUUUCUCAUCUAUAUUUUACAAUCAAAUGCAUAUAUGAUUAUACUUUUACCAAUACAUUUUAGACCAGUUGUGUCAAACCCUCAGCCCAUUUUGGCCCACGGGGUGAAUUUUAAAUUGGAAAAAAUACAGAAGACAUUCUGGUGGUGGGGACUAAAGUGCCACUGACAUCUGAAACAUGAAAUUUACAAAUUCAUCCAUUUGCUCACAGCACGUCAGAAUGUUGCUGUAUAUCAGGUUUUUCAUCUCCCGCCAUGAAAAUUCACUGUUUUGAGUUGAAUAAGCAUAAGUGAAGUUUUUUGCAGACACCGACAGCAGUGGGGGCGUGUGUCUUUAUCUGAUGUACUGUCAAGAAAUGACCUGUUUUUUCCUGUGUGUUAUCAAAAAUUCCAGCAACACAACAACAAAAGAUGACAAAGUUCGUGAUACACUCCCUAAACACUAUGCAGAAUUACUGGGUUAAGUACCAUUUUAAAGCAACGGUAUACUCCAAAGAACAAGACCUGUAGCCUAAUUACACAAGAAUCUCUGGGGGAAGAGUCGGUCCUCAUGCUAACCCCAGACCUUGUGCGAUGAUUUGUGGAGGAAUAAUUGUGAUCAUAAUUAUCAUACAUCUGCUUCCAAUAAAGAAAUUCUUUGCUCUGCUCUAGAUAACGCGGCAGCCUCCUAGGAGGAGAUAGCAAGAACAAAUACAUCUAAUCAUCAGAACUGUUAGAACUGCUGCCUGUUAAAGAAAUGAUGAGCACACACGUACUCAGCAAUCUUCCACACAUGCACAUGCAUAUGAACAAACAUGUACACCUUGUUUCAAACUGUUUUGCUUGUCGUCUCCUUUUUGUAACAUCCAUGUAAAUAAGGGGCGUCUUAAAACUAAAUAAAUUGAAGUGCUCAGGAGAGGAUAAUCAGAGAAUGCAGUGGUGAAUUGUACGAGACAGUUCCUCUCCUCUCCUCUCCUCUCGCGAGACUUGAACUGGUGUCUUUGCUUCCUUUUUUGUCCUGUUUAAUGAAUGUCUGAUUGGUGAACCUGACAUUUACUUGGUCCUUCGAGCCGGAUCUCAAGAUACCUGAGGUUUCCAGGGGCCGAGUCGGGGUCCAGGCAAAGACCGUGGCCACGGCACUUGAGACCCUUUCCCGGACUGGGCCUCGACUUUGCGCCUGGAGGCUGAGGGUUGACGAGAAGCCGAAGGAAGUGAAGGCAUCUCUGGUGAGUAGGAAACUCCCACACUCAUGAGGAAUGAGUGAAUGCGCGUCUGGGUGACUGCAGCAGAACCAAACCUUGAGAAUACUAGUCACUAUCGAGUAGACUAAUUAGUCUAUAAAACUGAGAAAAGGGCAAGGUGUGUCCUGUACGUGAGGUCCGUGAUAUGUGUGCAUGUGUAAAAGUGUGAGUGGAGGUUGGCUACCUCAUUUGAACAGGAAAUUGAGUGACA